ensembl:lncRNA
GACCUGUGUAGGAGACUAGUGUUGUGUUGUCCUGACGCGCCAGACAAUGCUGAAAAUCGAUGUGCUAGUAGAGUUACAAAUAUUUAAUCAAGACAAGAUUGUUCAAUAGUAUGAAUCCUAAGUUAGUGGACGGCUUUGAAACAAAACGUGAACUACAUUUUGAUACUGAGGUCUCAAUUCAAAACAAGCAAACAACUUUUAACAUGCUUAUUUACUCAAUUGAAUAUAAAUCAGUGCUAGGAUAUGAAAUUGUACCAGCUCCACCCCCACGCAAAAUAGCUUCAUAUAGGCAUAGAUUCACACCAAGAUGGCCGUCAGACCAGUCCUGUGUUUGCAUGUGAGCUUGGAAUUUAUGUUUUAUGUUUUUUCCGUUUAUGUGUCAUCAGCUUGCACUGGACCAGUGACGUGCGUUGAGGUUCGUAGCUGGGGAGGCACUCAGUCAGAUUCACAAAUACACCCACAGAGCAGCAUAAAUUCACCAUUCAACUGGCUGCUUGCACAUUGACUAAUUGAAUUAUUCUGUAUCAGCGUUCUUUACACACACACACACACAUAGGUAGGGGACAUAUUUUGCCAAAGAAAGUAAAUCUUGUUGUAAAUUGUUUUAAUAUUUGUUUGAUUCGGCACCUUUUCUUUAAUCUUGGCCUGCACCCCAUUAAGCUCCGAUGCCAUCACAGCGGCUCCGUCAUAAGUCUGAGCUAUCAGCUUUUCCACACAGUUGUAUUUCUCCAGGACUCCAAAGAUGUACUCGGCUAUAGCAAGGGCUCGUCUGUCAUUACUCACAUCAUCAAACCCAAAAAAUGCCUCUUUCACUUCACAGGCCACCUAAUUUUGCAACAUAACGCAAAAUGACAGAUUUGGGCUUUGUUUGUGACAUCCAGGGCUGUAGUGGAGGGUAAACGCACGUAAACGCCGUUUACGCACCUCUAGAAUUUGGAAAUAGCGUUUACACACCUAUAAAUAGCGUUUACCCACCUCUAAGUGGCGUUUACGCACCUCAAAGUUCCCUGCGCCUUGUAUUCUUCCGUUGGAAUAAUCCGAAAUAAACUUGGUGUAAUUUUAAAACAGCUAAGACUACGUUUCCUAUUGUUGAACAUAUAAACGCCGUAGUCUGAAUCAUUUUCAUCUGCGCCGUAUUACGGUCUGUGAGCAUCCAAUCAGUGCCUUGCGGCUGCAGCAGCGACACCAAUCAAGAUCCAGGAGGCACAUACACGGACCGGUUUCAUGUCAGACAAUAUUUCGCGGACCGGUCGAGAAGGUCCGACGGGGGGGGUAGUCUUUGCGGGCGGAACGACCGACGGGGGGGAAAGGGGUAGUAGUCGCGCGCUCUGUGUUCGCUGGUCGUGCACGGUAAAAGAAAAACGCCUGGUGACGCGUAGAUUAGAAAACAAGUCAGUUCUCAAUGUGAAAAAAAACAUGCUGUAUAGGCUAUUUAUGAUGACGUAGGUAGUACAUGAGUGUUCCUUUAACUUAUGUUGUCAGUGUAAUUGACUGGUUAACUCUUAAAUUCAACAUAUUUUUUCAGGCAGUGAUAGGACAGGCAAUGAUGCAGAGAGCACAGGGAGAGGAGAAACACCAGAACACGCGUUCUGGGGUUCAUGGCUCCUCUGUGCAAGGCAGGACCUGACGUGGAGGACAAGGAGGCCCUCUGGACACUGCUGUAAAAAGGAGACUCCAUAUGUAGAUAGUUCUUAAUCUGCAAUUGUCUU